rnacentral:snRNA from 1 species
AUAGUUCACUUCAAUAAUUAUCACUGCUACCAUGGAAACAGUACAGAGUAGAUUCACAUGACCUCUGCGCAGGGAUAAUAUAUAAGUGUGGGAGGUUACCCUCACUUCU